rnacentral:rRNA from 1 species
GACGAACGCUGGCGGCGUGCUUAACACAUGCAAGUCGAACGGAAAGGCCCCUUUGGGGGUCCUCGAGUGGCGAACGGGCGAGUAACACGUGAGUAACCUGCCCUCGACUUCGGGAUAACUUCAGGAAACUGGGGCUAAUACCGGAUAGGAAUCCUUGCUGCAUGGUGGGGGUUGGAAAGCUUCGGCGGCUUUGGAUGGACUCGCGGCUUAUCAGCGUGUUGGUGGGGUAGUGGCUUACCAAGGCUUUGACGGGUAGCCGGCCUGAGAGGGCGACCGGCCACAUUGGGACUGAGAUACGGCCCAGACGCCGACGGGAGGCAGCAGUGGGGAAUAUUGCACAAUGGGCGGAAGCCUGAUGCAGCAACGCCGCGUGCGGGAUGACGGCCUUCGGGUUGGAAACCGCUUUCAGCAGGGGCGAAGCUUGUGGUGACGGUACCUGCAGAAGAAGCACCGGCUAACUACGUG